UCCUUCGUGGUCCAAUGGUUAGGAUAGCUCGCCUUCACUUCAUGCCUUGUCUUCCGAGGCUCCGAGCCGGCCCGGGUUCAAUUCCCGACGAGCGAA